UACGGGGGGGGCAAGCGUUGUUCGGAAUUACUGGGCGUAAAGGGCGCGUAGGCGGACAGUUAAGUCAGAGGUGAAAGCCCAGGGCUCAACCCUGGAAUAGCCUUUGAUACUGGCUGUCUUGAGUGCGGGAGAGGUGUGUGGAACUCCGAGUGUAGAGGUGAAAUUCGUAGAUAUUCGGAAGAACACCAGUGGCGAAGGCGACACACUGGCCCGUAACUGACGCUGAGGCGCGAAAGCGUGGGGGAGCAAAC
rnacentral:rRNA from 1 species